rnacentral:misc_RNA from 1 species
AAAUGUCUCCCCCUACUUCCAGAAGGUACCCAAGGAAGGAGCUGCAGAUAGCAACUUGACUGACAGCAAUUGGGGGCAGACAAAGUCAUCAAAAAAGAGAAAAAAGCUGUGUGAAGGAGCUGGUCUUGCAGUUCCAAAUGUCUCGCCCCACUUCCAGAAGAUAUGCAAGGAAGAAGAAGCUGCACAUAACAGCUUGACCGACUGCAAUGAUGGGCAGAAAGAGUUGUCAAAGAAGAGCA